rnacentral:lncRNA from 1 species
CGACAUGAGUGUGUAAAGAAGCAAGGCCAGGCCAGGCGUGCUGGUGACACCUUUAAUCCCAGCACUUGGGAGGCAGAGGCAGGUGGAUCUCUGUGAGUUUGAGGCCAAUCUGGAAAAGCCAGGAGAGAGAGAAAGAGAGACAGGCACAGACAGACAGACAGACAGACAGACAGACAGACAUGCACGCACAGCAAGGGUGAUGCCACCAUAUGAACUUCAUACAGAAUUCUGUAAGAAAGCCAGGUGUUUGAGUCAAGAGGUAGAGCUGAUAGGUGAUAAUUAAAUCGAUCAGAAAGACCUCCCUGAGCUGGAGGCGGGUUAAGGGGGGGCGUGAGGGGGUGUCUCAGCUGAGACUCAAAUACCCAGAAGGUGGAUGUCUUGAGAUUCAAUGCCCAGAAGGUCAUCUGAAGCAUUAAAUAGUCAUUAAAUGCCAUCGAGGCAUUUAGGGCAAAAAGAGCAGCAGCUGUGGAAGGAAUGAGCACCGUGAAGCUACAGGAGGGUGAAGGCCUUGGCCGUGAGAGGCGGGAGGUCAGAGGACAGAAGUAGUCAGUAGACAGAAGUAGGAGGAUGGCCAGUUUUUAGCUAAGUACAUAGAAAGCAUCAGUGCUUUACAGGGAAAAUUUGCCUUAAAUGACUUUAAACAGUAAGCAUGCCGUGGAUGCUGUAGCCAACAAAGAAGGCUUCCCGGGGUUUGGCGGUGCUUCGGUAAGGUCUCCAGCUCUCAUUUGGUGAAGCUUCUCCAGCUUUGCACAGCCCUGGCUGUGACUCAGGCUGGCUUCAUUUGUAGUGCCAAAAGAGAAUGCAGUUCCAGACCUCAGAUCCCCAUGGUACCGGAAAUUCAGCUCAAUGGGAAGAAUUGCCUUCGUCCUUCCACUGUUUUAAGAAGUGGGUCCCUCCGGAGAGCACCUAAGAAGGGGCUGAGCGAGUGUAAGAUGACGUGGCUCCCUGGGCGCACAUCAUAUGACUGUCUGGACAGGAAAGUCCAGAAGUAUGAGGUGCAGGGAUGCACUUAGCAUGUACGAGGAGGGAGUGCACUUGAGAGGAAGUCACCAAGCUGCUCCUGCUAGAAGCAGGCUGUGGCCACCGACCAGGGCAAGCUGGUAUGGGUCUGGGGUGGUCAAACAAAACACUUCAGUGCCCUUUGAGGCAGAGCCAAAGACAACACUGGGCCUUCCCUUAGGGAGGAGCACAUUCCAGCCUGUACACAGGACGGGGAAAAGUCAGGGUCACAGGUUGGCCACUGAGUUACAGCUUCUAUGUAGGCGGUCAGGAACCUUUAAAGUCUCUUUAAAAAUUCAACAGGAUGUUACACCCUUGUCAACAAAGGACACAGAUGCUCUGCUGGCCCCAAGCCUUGCCCUUACCCCCAACCAUCUCCCAGUCUCAGGAAAGUGUGAUGGCCUGGUGGGGACCUCCCAAAGCUGCCGCUACCUCACUAAAUGACAAGGCAGAACACUUUGAAAAUCUUUAUUGCCUUAAAAUAUCUUCUGUUACAAACAGGAAAUACAAAUUAUGUUUUUUUAAAUAAAUGGAUUGAGUAAACAUGUCCACUUUGAACAGUUGAAGAAAAAAACACCUUUCUCUUGACAGAAAGUAAGGCUUCUCUCUGAUCCAUCCCUAACACUCCCUCCACCAGACGGCUGCUUCCCUCCCUCCUAUCCACUGCUCAGGUCUAUACACGUACACACACAUAUACACACACACACACACAAAACGCAUGUGUGUACACGCAAUCACAUACCCUCUGGCCCAGUAUCCCAGUACUGCAGGCAAACUGGGCGAUCUGGUAUGCUAAGGCCAGACACACUAAGAUCCAUGACCAGAGCUGCUCAAGGCACAGGAGCAAUUAGCUGCCAGUUUCUCUUUGGGGAAGACACCACGAAAGCCUGUUAGUGGUGGGGAAAAAGGUCAACUGGAA